GAUUGGUGACAUCGGCAUCCAAGUGCUGGAGGUGCAUCACACCUCUGUACCUCAUGUUGUCACAGCGUGUGCCAUCCUCCACAACAUCUGCCUCUGUGUUGACGACACCGAGGCCCCAGAGGAAGAUGUGGAGGUGAUGAUGAGGAAGCUGGUUUGGAGGUCACCAGCGGUGCUCUCUGGCAGGACCAACUACCGGCUGAGGUUUCUGCCCUGGGGGAGGUACCACUUUGAUUACUGGUAAAAGGUAAUUAAAUGAUCAAGAGAUU